rnacentral:rRNA from 1 species
AUUGAACGCUGGCGGCAUGCCUUACACAUGCAAGUCGAACGGUAACAGGUCUUCGGAUGCUGACGAGUGGCGAACGGGUGAGUAAUACAUCGGAACGUGCCUAGUAGUGGGGGAUAACUACUCGAAAGAGUGGCUAAUACCGCAUGAGAUCCACGGAUGAAAGCAGGGGAUCGCAAGACCUUGUGCUACUAGAGCGGCCGAUGGCAGAUUAGGUAGUUGGUGGGAUAAAAGCUUACCAAGCCGACGAUCUGUAGCUGGUCUGAGAGGACGAUCAGCCACACUGGGACUGAGACACGGCCCAGACUCCUACGGGAGGCAGCAGUGGGGAAUUUUGGACAAUGGGCGCAAGCCUGAUCCAGCAAUGCCGCGUGCAGGAUGAAGGCCUUCGGGUUGUAAACUGCUUUUGUACGGAACGAAAAGCCCUGGGUUAAUACCCUGGGGUCAUGACGGUACCGUAAGAAUAAGCACCGGCUAACUACGUGCCAGCAGCCGCCGUAAUAC